ensembl:ncRNA T21H3.7 ncRNA
AUUUGUCCGUGUGGAGUACACGACUUUCCCAUGUCCGGCAGGCGAUUGUCAAUGGAGCGCGAAAAGCGCAACGAGGGAGGCCAGAACCCCAUGUGCAUUUCUCAACAUUUUUCUGCAUUUUUCGACAUCAGCCGGCAGCCC